rnacentral:rRNA from 1 species
UACAGAGGUGGCAAGCAUUGUUCGGAAUUACUGGGCGUAAAGGGCGCGUAGGCGGCCUUCUAAGUCAGACGUGAAAUCCCCCGGCUUAACCUGGGAACUGCGUCUGAUACUGGGAGGCUUGAGUAUGGGAGAGGGAUGUAGAAUUCCAGGUGUAGCGGUGAAAUGCGUAGAUAUCUGGAGGAAUACCGGUGGCGAAGGCGGCAUCCUGGACCAUAACUGACGCUGAGGCGCGAAAGCUAGGGGAGCAAACGGG